rnacentral:SRP_RNA from 2 species
CGCGCCAAGCGGGAAGUUAGCGGUGUCCUGUACCUGCAAUCCGCUAUAGCAGGGUGUGAUUCCCGCCGCGAGGCAAAGCGCUGUGGGGCUGGAACGAGGGCGAAGCGUUGAAGGCCGGGCCCCGUGCAAUCGGAGGCCGUGAACCAUGUCAGGUCCUGACGGAAGCAGCAUUAAGCGGAAUUUUCGAUGUGCCGCGGGUAUGCCUGGCUUGAGCUUAGCUUAUCGUGUGCCGCCCAUAGGGCUUGUGCCGACCGGCGGGUGCGC